UGAUAAUUAGUUUAACAAAAACAAAUGAUUUCGACUCAUUAGAUUAUGAUCAUUCUCAUAAUUAUCAA
rnacentral:tRNA from 1 species